rnacentral:tRNA from 1 species
GAUAGUAGCUCAGUGGUAGAGUGUGUGCUUAGCAUGCAUGAGGUCCUGGGUUCGAUCCCCAGUACAAUCC